rnacentral:ncRNA from 5 species
UCGGUUAUCAUGGUACCGGUGCU